rnacentral:rRNA from 1 species
UGAAUACGAGAUGCUACGGCGUCGAAGCAGUCUAUGUCAUACUUCCAAGAAAAGCUUGCACUGUCAUAAACAAAUAAUGCCUGUACCAUAACCGACACAGGUGGGUAGGUAGAGUAUACUAAGGGGCGCGAGAUAACUCUCUCUAAGGAACUCGGCAAAAUGACUCCGUAACUUCGGGAGAAGGAGUGCCUUAUUUUAUAAGGUUGCAAUAACAAGAUCCAAGCAACUGUUUACCAAAAACACAGGUCUCCGCUAAGUCGUAAGACGAUGUAUGGGGGCUGACGCCUGCCCAGUGCCAGAAGGUUAAAGAAGUUGGUUAGCAUCCGCGAAGCUGAUAACUGAAGCCCUGGUGAACGGCGGCCGUAACGAUAACGGUCCUAAGGUAGCGAAAUUCCUUGUCGGGUAAGUUCCGACCCGCACGAAAGGCGUAAUGAUUUGGAUACUGUCUCAGAGAGGGGCUCGGUGAAAUAGACUUGUCUGUGAAGAUGCGGACUACCUGCACCAGGACAGAAAGACCCUAUGAAGCUUUACUGUAACUUGAAAUUGAAAUUGGACUUUACUUGCGCAGUAUAGGUGGGAGGCGUUGAGAACAUUCUUGCGGGAAUGUUGGGGCCAUCAGUGAGAUACCACUCUUGUAAUGUUAGAUUUCUAACUUUGUAUCAUUAUCUGGUCAAAGGACAGUUUCAGGCGGGCAGUUUGACUGGGGCGGUCGCCUCCCAAACGGUAACGGAGGCGCACAAAGGUUUCCUCUGAACGGGUAGAAAUCGUAUCUAGAGUGUAAAGGCAUAAGGAAGCUUGACUGUGAGACCUACAAGUCGAGCAGGGACGAAAGUCGGUCUUAGUGAUCUGACGGUGCUGAGUGGAAAGGCCGUCACUCAACGGAUAAAAGUUACUCUAGGAUAACAGGCUGAUCUCCCCCAAGAGUUCACAUCGACGGGGAGGUUUGGCACCUCGAUGUCGGCUCAUCGCAUCCUGGGGCGGUAGUACGUCCCAAGGGUUGGGCUGUUCGCCCAUGAAAGCGGUACGCGAGCUGGGUUCAGAACGUCGUGAGACAGUUCGGUCCAUAUCCGGUGUAGGCGUUAGAAUAUUGAGAGGAGCCUUCUUUAGUACGAGAGGACCGAGAAGGACAUACCUCUGGUGUACCAGUUAUCGUGCCAACGGUAAACGCUGGGUAGCUAUGUAUGGAGUGGAUAACCGCUGAAAGCAUCUAAGUGGGAAGCCCACCUCAAGAUAAGUAUUCUCAC